CAGAGCCUCUUUUCUCUUCCCCAUCCCUCCUUGAAAUCCAACUGUCCACCUGGGCCAGAGGUCUCUGGGGUGGCACUGAGGUAGGGGAAUGGCUGGGCCUAAGAGGGCAGACACAGGACAGAUGGAGAGUCCAGUGAAGUAGGAGAAGGACAGGAAGAUCAAAAGAGAAACACAGUGAGAGUGAAAAAGUGACUGGGAGACAGAGGGGCAGAGGCUAAGAGUUAGCAGAAAGCCAGCAUAACAAGCUGGGAGAGUGAGAGAAACAGAAAGAGAGCAGCGAGACUGGGAGCAGAGAAAAAGAAAAAGAAUGGAGAGAGAAGGAUGGGAAAGUCACAGCUAGAGAAGGCAGCUGGGGAGGGCUGGCAUGGGUCAGGCUGGCUCUCCUGGGCUCGCUCCCUCCUUCUGAUGGGCCAUAAAUCUGUGUGUGCGCACACUGGUGUCUGUCUGUCCAUCUAUGUGCACGCACGCACUGCACGUGUGUACAGGGGUUGGUGGUGGGCAGAGGGAUGAUUCCCACAAUAUCCUCAUUCUCAUUUGUUUCAGGAGUCUCCCUCCUUGAGGCACCCCACACCAACCCCUCAUUUCCCAACAUUCCUGAUGCUCCAGGGGCCAUUCCCAAGAAAUGCUGUAACUGCACUCCAGGGGCUAUGUGAAUGCCGGAUGCUUGGAAAGUUCCUCUCCCAUCUGCCUUCCAUCCUUUCUGCUGCAAAGAUCUGUGGUCCUCCGAGGGGCUCUCCAGGAGUCAACCCCCUGCCCGAUCUGUGAAACUCAUUCUCCACCGCCCUCAGGGCCCCCUGCUCUGGCUCAGGAGGAGAGGGAGAUGCUGGGUGGGGGCCUGGGGAAGGUGGCCACGCUAAAAAUAGGGGCUCCCAACGGCACCCCCAGCCCCUUAUUUAUCGCCUUCCAAACCCCUCUCUCAAAGAAGCAUAAAUACGCAUUCCUAAUCCUGAA